rnacentral:rRNA from 1 species
GACGAACCGUGCGAACGUUGUUCGGAAUCACUGGGCUUAAAGGGCGCGUAGGCGGGCCAUAGAGUCAGGGGUGAAAUCCUCCAGCUCAACUGGAGAACUGCCUUUGAUACUGAUGGUCUCGAGUAAGGUAGGGGCAUGCGGAACUGAUGGUGGAGCGGUGAAAUGUGUUGAUAUCAUCAGGAACUCCGGUGGCGAAGGCGGCAUGCUGGACCUUCACUGACGCUGAGGCGCGAAAGCUAGGGGAGCGAACGGG